UUUUUCUUUUUUUUUUUUUUUUUUUUUUUUUUUUGUCUUUUUAGGGCCGCAUCCUAGGCAUAUGGAGUUCCCACUAUGGCUCACUGGAACCGAUCCUGACUAGGAUCCAAGAAGAUUUGGGUUUGAUCUUUGGCCCCACUCAGUGGGUUAAGGAUCCAGCGUUGCCAUGAGCUGUGGUGUAGGUUGCAUCUGGUGCUACUAUGACUGUGGCAUAAGCCGGCAGCUGUAGCUCCAACUGGAUGCCUAGCCUAGGAACUUCCAUAUGCCUUGGGUGCAGCCGUGAAAAAAAUAAAUAAAUAAAUAAACAAACCACUUUUAGGAGUUCCCUGGUGGCCUAGCAGUAAGGACCUGGUGUUGUCAUUGCUGUGCUUGGAUCACUGUUGUAGUACGGGUUUCAAUCCCUGGCCUGGAAACUUCUGCAAAAAACAAUAAACCCAAAAAACACCACUUUUUUCUAUUUCACUCUUUACCGUGCCUUAAUCUGAGAGUCUACUAUAAAUGGAGUACAUAGUACAAUGAAAACUGCACGUAGGUAAUAAAAGCACAGGCGUCAAUUCCAAAGUCCUCAGCCAGGGACCUGUCCACAGCUGUAGGUACUGCAGCUGUUGGCAGAAGCCAGAGCCGCCCCAGGUCUAGAGUCUGGGCCUUGCUCUUCCGUUUUUUUCCCCAGGGCUAAUAGAGCAGAGGGAGAGUCCGCCCUGCCUUGUGGCCGUGAGGACGUGCUGUAUAAGUGCAUACGUCCUUCAGCUAUUUCCUGUGAUGCCCAGAGAUCGCAAUCCUGACAGGGAGUCAGGGUUCACAGGUCAUGUCAGGCUUAAAAAGAUCACAACCGCUCGAGGGUGGGGGCGUGGAGCAGAGCAGGGAGACCACCUGGAGGCUACUGUGAUGUAAGAGCCAAGACGGGCUCCCUGUCUUCCUCCCAGCCUGUGAGGGCGAACACAAGGCAAGUGCUCAGAAACUGCGAAGCAGACAACAGUACCUGGUUUCUAAGGAAGAGUGUAUUCAGAUCAAUACCUGAGGCCAACACACCGCCGUCUGCAGCCCUCUCCUUUACCCGUAAGAAGGCAGGGCUAGGACGGUGCGGAAGGCCCAGGGCUCCAGCAGGCAGAAGACACCUUAUUCCCACAGCAAGGUCACAGCCAGCAGAGGUUUUCCUAAGGAUUCUCUGCGGUUUGACCACCUCCGCCCACCCCCGCAACCCCAUCCAAUCCGGGAAAAACAAGGGCAAGUAUAGCGAGUCCAGCUUCAGGCCCAGGAAAAGUCACUGACAUCUGCACCCAUUGCACAAUGAUCUUUACACGCAGCACGCUCAAGAGGAAACUUCGAGAGAAGGAAUGUUACCUGCCAUUCCAGUAAACAAAGACUGCUGCCUAUCUUUCCAGUAAGUGGGGAUGGAGCCAUCACCCCCUGCAGCCACAGCCCCACCCCCAGGGUGCAGGCCGAGGGGAGCGUACAGAAAAGGGAGGCUUUCUGUGCUCCAGGCACCGGCCCCAGAGUUAGGAUGCGUAUCUAAGGAAUAACGUUCAAUGAGCCCAGAUUCUUGCAUCUUCUCCAAGAGAGAAAAGCUCUAAAAUCAUGAACUGGAGGGGUCUGUUUUUGUGACGAGCAGUCAUCUUUGAUGUUCAACUACAUUUUUUUUAACAAAAGCUCCCCUAUAUCCUGACUCCUCCCCUAACUCUUUGGAGCGGUUCCUCAGAGCGAUCUGAGAGGCUGUCUCCCGGCUUAGGUCCUCAGUAAGGUCCCCAAAUAAAAUUGAACUUGCAGCUUUCAGGUUGUGUGUUUUCCUUCAGCCCACCGUUCUGGACAUCAACAAAGGGACCCAGAGCCAACGUCCGUCCUCGCUUGAACUCUACCAGGAUCUGCAGCCGUGGUACCAGCAGGGCCCCCUUGGGUCCCACCGCCUCCGCAGAGGGUCCAGAGGAAUUUAGCUGCAUCUCUUCUGGUCUUGGAUUUCCCGUUAUUGGCUGAUGAUCCUAAGUUUUAUUUGGUAGUGAGUAACGUCCUCACUGGAGGUGGAGGUUUUCCUUGAACUUAGUUUCUAGAAGCCGGACCUGGGUCACCCAGAUGAACAACACUGGGAAGAUUUUGCUCAGGAGAAAAACACUGGUGUGGAAUCCUUCAAAUUAGAGAGGCUUCUAAAUUGGUAAAUUUUUAGAGAGGUCUCAUUAUAAACAGGUAUUUUAUUUGUACCUAUGAAAAGACCAAAGUAGAAGGUGGAUACAAAAAAAUAUAACAGCUAAAUUUAUUUAGAACUCCCUUAGUUUAAAAUAAAUAAACAAUGGCAACAAAAAUGGUUUGGGACGCUACAUUUGUAGUCUCAGUUUCCCCUCAGUGGGUCUUAGAGAUGCUAAUAAAAACAUUAGAUCAGGAGUUCCCUUGCGGUGAAGUGGGUUAAGGAUCCUGCACUGUCGCUCUGUGGCUCAGGUCACUGCUGUGGUGUGGGUUUGAGCCCUGCUGCAGGUGAGGCCAAAAAAACAAACCAAAAAAAAAAACCCAUUAGAUCAGUUGUCAAUUAGGUUAAUUAACAGAUGAACUAGAAAAAAAAAAACUAAAGGGAAAGUCUAGAGACUUCUUCCCAAAAGAGGGUAAUUUUUAUUUUCUUUUUGCAUUUAGAAAUUCCCAGGCUAGGGGUUGAAUCAGAGCUACAGCUGCCACCCUGUGUAUGCCACAUCCACAGCAACGCUGGAUCCCCAAAACACUGAGUGAAGCCAGGGGUUGAACCUGCAUCCUCAUGGAUACUGGUCAGAUUCAUUUCCACUGUGCCACAAUGGGAACUCUCAAAAAGCCGGCUAUUUUAAAGAGACUUGUCCCACAAGGAUAAAAAUCUUGAGGUGGUUAAGAAAUAGGAUAGAUAAAACAGAUAUUAAUGGAGUUAAAACAAAAGUUUUGAUACAAUACUACCUAAGGUUGGCUGGUCAAAGGGGGACCCUCUACAAUUUCCCAAUAUUAAAGAACCGCAAACAAGUCCACCCUAUUUACCCCAGUUUAAAGUACAUACAUACUUAAAGACUGCUAGGGAGUUCCCGUCAUGGCUCAGUGGUUAAUGAAUAAGACUGGGAACCAUGAGGUUGUGUGUUCGAUCCCUGGCCUCGCUCAGUGGGUUAAGGAUGUGGCGUUGCCACGAGCUGUGGUUUAGGUCCCAGACAUGGCUCGGA
rnacentral:lncRNA from 1 species